rnacentral:rRNA from 1 species
AUGGAGCAGCAAUUCAUCCAUUUCGGCGCCACCACCUCCUCCACCAGCAGCUUCUACAGCACGCCCACGCCCACGCCUCCUCCUCCCGAACAAGCUCAAGCUGCUGCAACCUUGGCCUCCUCCACCCGCGACUACCACACCAGCUCCUCACCCAUGUCGUCGGCCUUCGACAUGGGCGACACCGACGACAUGCACCUCCUCAACACCCUCCUCCUCCACAUGUCUGGCUCUGGCACCGCUGCUUCUUCCAACCAUUACGCCUUCGACCUCCACCUCGACCUCGACCUCCACAUGGACGUGGACGUGGAGCCUUCCUCCUCUUCAACAAGCUCCUCCUCCUCUUCCUACUCCUCCUCCGACCACCACCAGCAGCAGCAGCAGCAGGGGAUGCCAGCCACCACAACUGCUAAGCGCCGUGCACCGCAGCAGCUGCACCCCGCGGCCUCCAAGGGCCUCAUCGGCGUGCGCAAGCGGCCCUGGGGCAAGUUCGCCGCGGAGAUCAGGGACUCCACCCGCAAGGGCGCCCGCGUCUGGCUCGGCACCUUCAACACGCCCGAGGCCGCCGCCAUGGCCUACGACCAGGCCGCCUUCUCCGUGCGCGGGGCCGCCGCGGUGCUCAACUACCCCGUCGACCGCGUCCAGGAGUCGCUCCGCACGCUCGCGCUCCGUCCCGACGUGCCGGGAGGCUCCCCCGUCCUGGCCCUCAAGCGCCGCCACUCCAUCCGCAAGCGAUCCCCCAACAAGGCCAAGAAGACUGCUACUCUUCUGGCGCCCACAAAGAUGAUGAUCAACGACUCCGCGGCCGCGCCGGUGCAGCAGCAGUCGGCGGCGGCAUGCGCGGGCGUGGUGGAGCUGGAGGACCUUGGCGCUGACUACCUGGAGGAGCUGCUCCGGGUGUCCGACGAGCCGUCGGCUUCAUCGACCACCAUGGUGAUGGGGGCCUUUGAUCAUCAUCACCAUCACCAUGUCGACGACCAAUCGGCGCUCGCCAACACGGCGCCCAUGCUGCUCCCUCAUUGCUAG